GACGAAUGCUGGCGGCGUGCUUAACACAUGCAAGUCGAACGAUGAAGCUGGAGCUUGCUCCGGUGGAUUAGUGGCGAACAGGUGAGUAACACGUGAGCAAUCUGCCCUUGACUCUGGGAUAACUGCGGGAAACUGUAGCUAAUACCGGAUACGACCCUCGGAGGCAUCUCCUGGGGGUGGAAAGAAUUUCGGUCAAGGAUGGACUCGCGGCCUAUCAGCUAGUUGGUGAGGUAAAGGCUCACCAAGGCGACGACGGGUAGCCGGCCUGAGAGGGUGACCGGCCACACUGGGACUGAGACACGGCCCAGACUCCUACGGGAGGCAGCAGUGGGGAAUAUUGCACAAUGGGCGCAAGCCUGAUGCAGCAACGCCGCGUGAGGGAUGACGGCCUUCGGGUUGUAAACCUCUUUUAGCAGGGAAGAAGCGAAAGUGACGGUACCUGCAGAAAAAGCACCGGCUAACUACGUGCCAGCAGCCGCCGUAA
rnacentral:rRNA from 1 species